CACCACUCCCUUGCUCCCCAGGCCCUCUCCCCACAGACCUGCUCUCCCUGCUCUGUCCCUGCCCUCGGCGCCUGUCCCUGUGCCACUGUGCUGGCAGCAAGGCCUAAUAACUGCCACGGAGGAUGACAUCACAGAAGUCUGGCCUGUGCCAACAUUCUGUGCAGGAAUGUUUGUUCCCGUUCUCUGCUGGGGGAGUUUUUUCAUGGCGGGGCCUCAUCCUCGACGAAGCUGUGGGACUCAGAGCCAGGCUCUGUGUGGCCCGACGAUCCUGCUGACCCGGCCUCCUGCAGACCAUGGGCCGCCAUACCCCUGGCCGCAUUUCCAGCUUUUCAAGUGGGAAGAAACCACCCCGCGUCCCAGGACUUGCACUUCUGUGGGCCAUCCUCAGCAAGACAUUUUCAUGGAUAUGAAACUGGACACCGAGUUGACGCUGAAGUUCAGCUGCUGGGUAAUCUUCCAUUUCUGGAGCUUGCUCAGCUUCCUUGUAAAACCUGGCUGGGCCUUUGCC